CCUACGGGUGGCAGCAGUCGGGAAUAUUGCGCAAUGGAGGAAACUCUGACGCAGUGACGCCGCGUAUAGGAAGAAGGUCUUCGGAUUGUAAACUAUUGUCGUUAGGGAAGAGAAAGGACAGUACCUAAGGAGGAAGCUCCGGCUAACUACGUGCCAGCAGCCGCGGUAAUACGUAGGGAGCGAGCGUUAUCCGGAUUUAUUGGGUGUAAAGGGUGCGUAGACGGGAAAAUAAGUUAGUUGUGAAAUCCCUCGGCUCAACUGAGGAACUGCAACGAAAACUAUUUUUCUUGAGUGCAGGAGAGGAAAGUGGAAUUCCUAGUGUAGCGGUGAAAUGCGUAGAUAUUAGGAGGAACACCAGUGGCGAGGGCGACUUUCUGGACUGUAACUGACGUUGAGGCACGAAAGUGUGGGGAGCAAACAGGAUUAGAUACCCGUGUAGUC
rnacentral:rRNA from 1 species